UGAACCAGCCAAGUAGCGUGCAGGAAGACGGCCCUAUGGGUUGUAAACUGCUUUUAUAAGGGAAUAAAGUGAGUCUCGUGAGACUUUUUGCAUGUACCUUAUGAAUAAGGACCGGCUAAUUCCGUGCCAGCAGCCGCGGUAAUACGGAAGGUCCGGGCGUUAUCCGGAUUUAUUGGGUUUAAAGGGAGCGUAGGCCGGAGAUUAAGCGUGUUGUGAAAUGUAGAUGCUCAACAUCUGAACUGCAGCGCGAACUGGUUUCCUUGAGUACGCACAAAGUGGGCGGAAUUCGUGGUGUAGCGGUGAAAUGCUUAGAUAUCACGAAGAACUCCGAUUGCGAAGGCAGCUCACUGGAGCGCAACUGACGCUGAAGCUCGAAAGUGCGGGUAUCGAACAGGAUUAGAUACCCUGGUAGUCCGCACGGUAAACGAUGGAUGCCCGCUGUUGGUCUGAAUAGGUCAGCGGCCAAGCGAAAGCAUUAAGCAUCCCACCUGGGGAGUACGCCGGCAACGGUGAAACUCAAAGGAAUUGACGGGGGCCCGCACAAGCGGAGGAACAUGUGGUUUAAUUCGAUGAUACGCGAGGAACCUUACCCGGGCUUGAAUUGCAGAGGAAGGAUUUGGAGACAAUGACGCCCUUCGGGGCCUCUGUGAAGGUGCUGCAUGGUUGUCGUCAGCUCGUGCCGUGAGGUGUCGGCUUAAGUGCCAUAACGAGCGCAACCCCUCUCCUUAGUUGCCAUCAGGU
rnacentral:rRNA from 1 species